CCUACGGGUGGCAGCAGUGAGGAAUAUUGGUCAAUGGACGAGAGUCUGAACCAGCCAAGUAGCGUGAAGGAUGACUGCCCUAUGGGUUGUAAACUUCUUUUAUAUGGGAAUAAAAUGUUCCACGUGUGGGAUUUUGUAUGUACCAUAUGAAUAAGGAUCGGCUAACUCCGUGAAAGCAGCCGCGGUAAUACGGAGGAUACGAGCGUUAUCCGGAGUAAUUGGGGUUAAAGGUAGCGUAGGUGGAUUGUUAAGUCAGUUGUUAAAGUUUGCGGCUCAACCGUAAAAUUGCAGUUGAAACUGGCAGUCUUGAGUACAGUAGAGGUGAGCGGAAUUCGUGGUGUAGCGGUGAAAUGCUUAGAUAUCACGAAGAACUCCGAUUGCGAAGGCAGCUCACUGGACUGCAACUGACACUGAGGCUCGAAAGUGUGGGUAUCAAACAGGAUUAGAUACCCGAGUAGUC
rnacentral:rRNA from 1 species